CUGAGAUCAGCCGUGUGGGCGGGGCCGGCGGCCAGCGUGGAAUGCUCCGUGGUUCUCGAUCGUGGGUUGGCUUCUCUGCCCCUUACCUCCCCCUCCCCCGUUCCAAGGGUAGGAGUAAGUGGCGUCUGUGUGUCUGUCUGCGGAGUCUGUAACUUCUGGCCGACUCCUCUGUUUCUCCCUCCUGUUGCAGAAUUUCCAGACCAGUCUUUAGGCAAAGAAAAGAGACUUCAGUCAGGCAAGCUUUUCCAGUACUGACCGGGAUUAUAUAUUUUAUCAACUGUUGAAGAAAUUCGUUAGGAACAAUAUACCAUUACAUAUCUGCAACUAUUCUUGAAAAUUUCUGCAACAGGGGAAAGAAUAAUGGACACCACUGAUUGCAUGUCUACUCUGUGUCAGGUGCUGGUUUCUUGCCUGCCAUUUCCCUCAUCCUCACUCUCUGAGGUUGGCACUGUCAUCUCCCUUUACCUGUGAAGAAAUGGAGACAGAGGAAAGUUCACUCCCCAGCCCAAGAGCAAGCAGGCACGGCAGAGGUGAGACUCAAACUCAAGUCUUUUUCCUGAACACUUUGUAGUACUUCAGAACCACAGCGGCCUACUGGCUUUUAUUGCUGGAGAAGAAGACAGAAGUGGAAAAAAAAAGUAUAAAAUGAAAACAAAACAAAACAAAAAGAGAGACACGAAAGCGUGAAAGGUAACCUUGAGUUUCAGUGACAUCAGUAGAGAACCACUUUCUUGAUGCUGAUUCCAGCUGUCCUCAGUUCUUUUCCAGGUUCUUUGCCCUUUAUUUGAUAUUGACAUACAUUUUGGCACCUAAUAAACGAUGGCAAAAUAUUUUACAAAC
rnacentral:lncRNA from 1 species